UACAGAGGUCCCAAGCGUUGUUCGGAUUCACUAGGCGUAAAGGGUGCGUAGGCGGUCGGGUAAGUCUGACGUGAAAUCUCCAAGCUCAACUUGGAAAUGGCGUCGGAUACUAUUCGGCUCGAGGAAUGGAGGGGAGACUGGAAUUCUCGGUGUAGCAGUGAAAUGCGUAGAUAUCGAGAGGAACACCAGUGGCGAAGGCGAGUCUCUGGACAUUUCCUGACGCUGAGGCACGAAAGCCAGGGGAGCAAACGGG
rnacentral:rRNA from 1 species